GACAGAGGGUGCAAACGUUGUUCGGAAUUACUGGGCGUAAAGCGCAUGUAGGCGGCCAAGCAGGUCGGAUGUGAAAGCCCUCGGCUCAACCAAGGAAAUGCAUUCGAAACCGCAUGGCUCGAGUCCCGGAGAGGAUGGUGGAAUUCUCGGUGUAGAGGUGAAAUUCGUAGAUAUCGAGAGGAACACCGGCGGCGAAGGCGGCCAUCUGGACGAGGACUGACGCUGAGAUGCGAAAGCGUGGGGAGCAAACAGG
rnacentral:rRNA from 1 species